rnacentral:rRNA from 1 species
UACAGAGGCCUCAAGCGUUAUCCGGAAUUACUGGGCGUAAAGGGUGUGUAGGUGGUCUAGUUAGUCUUCUGUUAAAUUCUUCGGCUUAACCGGGGACCUGCGGGAGAAACGGCUAGACUAGAGGAUGCAAGAGGUAUAUGGAACUCAUGGAGUAGGGGUGAAAUCCGUUGAUAUCAUGAGGAACACCAAAAGCGAAGGCAGUAUACUGGUGCACUCCUGACACUCAAACACGAAAGCGUGGGGAGCAAACAGG